rnacentral:tRNA from 1 species
CAAGUUAAAUCUUUUUGGUAAAGAAUGUCACUUACACUGACACUAUAUUUGUUCGAAUCAAUAUAACUUGA